rnacentral:snoRNA from 1 species
AUCCAUCCUAGAAGAAUCACUUCUUUAGUUAGUCAUCUUAUCUGAACUCUUCAAAAGAGCCACAGAACUCCAACCUGGCGGAUGAGCUACAUCCCCGGUGCCUUAGAGUGAUACCAAGUGCUUUGGCUUCGGCCUCAGCGGUGAUGAUCUCGACCCUUUUGAGUGUCUGGCUUCGGUCGGCUUGACUGGGUAGGUGCUGGCGGACUUCUGACAGGC